AUGGGCUGGUGUGGAUGUGAAAUACCCAGGCCAUAUGCAAGGCUUCUGUCACAAUGGUGGCUCCUUGGGGUGCAAAGAGGGCUAACGGGUAACACUACCAGGCGGUUCGUUUAUCUGAUGUCGGGACCUGAACGCCCCCCAAUCACUGGGCUGCUCCUGCAGGUUAGGGGGCCAUCAGGCCGGAAGGAAAGGCCGUCCCCUCGUGCACUGGUCCGUCCAGUUGCCGCCCAAUGGUACCAUCUCUGGUUGCUCAGCCACCGCCGUCCAAGGGCCUGGCGGCCCCGACUGUACCCACAGCGCCCGGCCUCGGGCUCUGCCUCCACAGUAAAGGUUAUGGGACCCAAACUUCCUGCAGCUCCGCUGGCACGAAGUACUCCACUGUCGCAGACAACUGCUCAGACUUGACCGACGAUCCAGGCCCCUGCAAGUUGGCUUCAUCGAUUGCCAGCCCCGUGACUUCAGAUGUGUUGCCCCGCUUCACACCAGCCAUCCAGGGCCACACCCUCGGCACAUGGAGGUUCCCAGGCUAGGGGUCCAAUCAGAGCUACAGCUGCUGGCCUGCACCUCAGUCACCACAAUGUGGGAUCCAAGCCUUGUCUGCAAACUACCCCACAGAUCACGGCAACGCCAGAUCCUUAACCCACUGAGCGAGGCCAGGGCUCGAACCUGCGUCCUCACGGCUGCUGGUCAGAUUCGUUUCCUCUGAGCCAGGAUAGGAACUCCCCUAAAGGCUGCCACGAGGAGCGGGUAUAGCGAACUCCACAUAUGGCCACAGGUCCCCAUCUGUCUCCUGCAGACGGGCACCUCCGCCUUGCUGCUGACUCUCCUGCGGCUGCUGCCACAAUAAGGGAUGCAAAUCCAGUAACCUCCGCCUUUGCCCUGUUCAAAGAUAAACAGGGUGUCCUCCCCCUGCGGGACUGUGGACACCAAACGGCCCUCCAAGCGAUCCGCUCGUGCCCAACC
rnacentral:lncRNA from 9 species